CUUGAAGGAAGAGCUUAAGUAAAUGAUGAUAUGUAGGGAAGUGAAACCAAUGCAGAUAAAGAUAUUAUAGUCUACUUACAGGAAGAGCUAUACUAAUUGUUGAUGUGUAUGGAAGGAAGACUAAGGCAGAUAAAAAUAACACAGUCUACUUGAAGGAAGAGCUUAAGUAAAUGAUGAUAUGCAGGGAAGUGAAACCAAGGCAGAUAAAGAUAUUACAGUCUACUUACAGGAAGAGCUAUACUAAAUAUUGAUGUGUAUAGAAGGAAGACUAAGGCUAAUAGACUGUCAUACUGAGCCAAACCUGUCUGAAAUAUCAAGACUGCAGCAAGGAAAAUUACCAGCAGAAACAGAAAUCUCAGUAUUGGCAAAAAAUAACUGAUCUAGACUACAAAGCGACUGGAAGUUUUUCUUACUGUGGCAAAAAUUGACACUAUUAUAAUUUUCAAUAGUUUUGAUGACUUAAGGACAAAAAAGCUUCUGUUAAAAAACAAAAAAAAAAAAAAAAAAACUGUGGUGUUGAACAUUUUGAUCUUUUCUAAAUAAUAUAUUUUAUGAACUUUG